AUUUGCUGCUGCAACAAGGUAACACGCUAAUUACUUAUUGCUUUUGGCUUUGCUUUUAUACCAUUGCUGAAUUUUAUCAUCUUAUUGAUAAUUGGGUAAAAAUGAAAAGAUAGUAGCAUUGGAAAUGCAAUGCUGAGAUGUUGAUUAAUUGGUGGCAGUAGACAACUAGGUGUCUAGGACUAUGAUGGGUGAUUGGAAGAGAGAUGCUUUGAUGUUUUCUGAUCAGGAGAGAUGUUCUAAUGAUUUGGGGCUGAUGUUUUUUUUAGCUUGCAUUAUGCUUCUUGAUAUUUGGAAAACAAUACAAGUCUUUUACAAUUAUAUACGCAUAUGCUUUGAAAUUCUGCAUUUCUUUUUUUGCAUAUUAUUUAUUUAUUAUUUUAAAUCUCUGUAGAUGGAUGCUACCACCCCUAAGU
rnacentral:misc_RNA from 1 species